rnacentral:rRNA from 1 species
UAUGAUCCAGAGUACCACGGGACACGUGAAACCCUGUGGGAAGCAGGAGGGACCACCCUCCAAGGCUAAAUACUACCUAGUGACCGAUAGCGUAUAGUACCGUGAGGGAAAGGCGAAAAGAACCCCGGGAGGGGAGUGAAAUAGAACCUGAAACCCUGCACUUACAAGCUGUGGAAGCACAUUUCUUGUGUGACCGCGUACUUUUUGUAGAACGGGCCAACGAGUUACGUUAAGUAGC